rnacentral:snRNA from 1 species
UUACUCUGGAUUCUAAUCGAAACCCGGAUAAAUCUUUCGCCUUUUCACUAAAGAUUUCCGUGGUUAGAAGCAUUGAUGAGUCUACUUAUUACGACUUAUUAUUUUAACGCCCGGUCUUCUGAUUGGGCA